rnacentral:rRNA from 1 species
CCCCCUUAGUCUUCUCUGUAAAUAAAGGAAGUUCACUGUUGCGGCUAUAGAUCCCCUCAGCGCUGCAGGUAUCAAGAUGUGCAGUUCGCCUCGCGAUGACGCGGGCGAGGCGUAAAAUUUAACAAAUUGACGACGGUCCGCCCUACAAGCGGUGUAAGUGCUGUGAUUCUUUGCUACACCAAGAACCUUACUUGGGCUGUUCAUGUUGGCAGUAGUGAAGCGAAAACGUAGUGUCGCUUCGAGGAGCCUACACAAGUGCACCUUGGUCGUCCUCACAUUCUUCCACGAGGGGUUGGGUUUAGUCCCGUAAACGAGGCAACCCUUGCCCUUUUUUUACCAAUGUUUAAGGGGACUUCCCGGGGCAACUUGGAGGAAAGGUGGGGAGAGUUUCAGUUAACAUGGCCUUUAUCACCAGGGCUACACACCCGGUACAAAGGGCGGUACAAUGGGUUGACAAGCUGUGAGGGGGGACCAAUCCCCCAAAGCCGGUCUAAGUUCGGAUUGCGGUCUGCAACUAGCCCAUAUGAAGCUGGAGUUGGUAGUAACCGCGCGUCAGCUAUAGUGCGGUGAAUACGUUCCCGGGCUUUGUACACCCCGCCUGUCACGUCAUGGAAGCUGGCAACACCUGAAGCCAGUGAGCUAACCCGCAAGGGAGGCACCUGUCGAAGCUGGGGCUGGUGACUGGGACGAAGUCCUA